GAUCCUGGCUCAGGACGAACGCUGGCGGCGUGCUUAACACAUGCAAGUCGAACGAAGAGCGAUGGAAGCUUGCUUCUAUCAAUCUUAGUGGCGAACGGGUGAGUAACGCGUAAUCAACCUGCCCUUCAGAGGGGGACAACAGUUGGAAACGACUGCUAAUACCGCAUACGAUCUAACCUCGGCAUCGAGGAAAGAUGAAAGGUGGCCUCUAUGUAUAAGCUAUCACUGAAGGAGGGG
rnacentral:rRNA from 1 species